rnacentral:rRNA from 1 species
GAUGAACGCUAGCGGCAGGCCUAACACAUGCAAGUCGAGGGGCAGCACAGAAACAGCAAUGUUUUGGUGGCGACCGGCGGACGGGUGCGUAACGCGUAUGCAACCUAUCUUUAACAGGGGGAUAACGGAGAGAAAUUUCCACUAAUACCCCAUAACAUCGAUCAAUGCAUCUUGAUUGGUUGAAAACUCCGGUGGUUAAAGAUGGGCAUGCGUUGUAUUAGGUAGUUGGUUAGGUAAUGGUUCACCAAGCCUACGAUACAUAGGGGGACUGAGGGGUUAGCCCCCCACACUGGUACUGAGACACGGACCAGACUCCUACGGGAGGCAGCAGUGAGGAAUAUUGGUCAAUGGGGGCAACCCUGAACCAGCCAUGCCGCGUGCAGGAAGACGGCUCUAUGAGUUGUAAACUGCUUUUAAACAGGGAUAAAGCACAGUAUGUAUACUGUGUUGAAGGUACUGUAAGAAUAAGGAUCGGCUAACUCCGUGCCAGCCGCCGCCGUAA